GUUUCAAAACUGAGCAUGUGGGAGGGUUAGAAGAGGCUGAGAGAUCACCUAUUCUACAUGCUUACUUUCUCAAGAGGAAAUGUAGCCUAGGGGAGUUACUACUUUCCCAAGGCACCACUGAACAAGUAUACAGUAUACAACUCAGCUGUCCAAAAUAGCACUUACACGGGAAGAAAAAGACAAGCUUAUUUUUUUGAAAAGGAAGAAGAUGAAAAAGAGGAACAAGCAGCAGAAAACUUCACUAUACAUAAAAUGGAGAAAAUCAAGAUGGCAUUUCUUCACUGGUCAAGAUUGCAGUGAGCUUGAAUCCUUCAAAAUGUCCAUGAUCACCUCCAGUUUAUACCACUUACCA